rnacentral:snRNA from 1 species
ACACCCUCCAAACACUGAGGUUGGUACAGCUCCGUAGUAUCUGUUCUUAUCAGUGUAAUUACUGGUAUUGGUUCAUCAAACCAAUCAAUUAAUUACUCUUAUCUUUGAAAUGCCCUCAGCCAUAACCUGGCUUGCCGGACUGGCUGAGACUAUGGCCUUGGGCUCACACUAUCCCCUUGUGCUGUCAGGCAAA